CACCACCCUAACGUCUCUUCGUCUCUCAGGCUAUCUCUAACACUCGAAACCCUAGCCGCCAUUAACAGCUUCUCCGGCCAAAUUCCACCGGCGUCCAUGGCUUCCCAAGCCAUGGACGGCCUGUGCUCUCUUCCAUUCACCCCAAAUCGUGGUUGUUCAAAGUUUCCGAGGUUCAAAUUCAACAAGGUCUGUCCAAAUCCUCCACCGAUCUGAGUUCUUUUGGUUUCCCCGGCUCCGUUCCAGCGUGUUCUAGCUUUAAAAGGCCUAGUCAUGGCCCAAACUUGUUCGAGACCCGAUCUUUUCCAAGACUUCUCAUUUCUAGGGUUUCUUAGAAACCCUAAAAAAUCUCUUUUGAGGUUCUUUCUUCCUCUAUUUUCUUAGAUCUAGGACAGAUCUGUGUUCUACUCGAGGUCUUGAUGGUUUCCCCUAAUUUUCUUUCUCAAAAUUAGUCUGUUCAAAUUAGGGUUUCCAAAAUCUUAAAAACGAUUCUUCUUCUUCUUCUUCUUUCUUUAUGUGAAUCUAUUUGUUCAUGCCAUGUCUUGUGUGAUUUUGCAUGUUAUUAUGUUUUGCCGUUAAUAUGCAUUUUUUUCGAUGACAUGCUUUACAUGCCUAUCUUAUGCGUCCCUUUACCAUUUUUAUUACUGAGUUUUGCUUGUCUUUACUAGACCUUCGUUUGAGUUCUAAACAUGUUUCUUCUACUGCUUCCUAAGUGCUAUGUCACCUCUGAACUUGCUUAAGUUUUGAGCUUUCUUUUAAAAUUGUUCUUUUUUAUUCUUCACUCUAAUGCUUCUAACUUGUUGUGUGUAUCUGUGUGCUUUCUUAUGAGACUCUGAAAGAGUUCCAUAAGUUUUGUUUUGAGGGCUUGCCUUCUCCUUUUUCUGUAUCCUACUCGAAUUGAAACCCUAGGUUUGGGGUUUUUGCUAGUUUUGGUGUUGUGUUAGGGUUAGGGUUCUACUCUAAAACCUUGGGCUCUCUCAAACUCAUGCUGAGUUUAUAACUGAAUUGGAAUACAUUUGCUUGUGAUUUGAAACUUUCUAUGCAUGUCCUUUCUCUUUUGUUUGGUACUGGUAUGUUUUAUAUGCAAGGGCCUUUCUUUUAAAAUGGUUCUGCCAACUCAUGAUUGAUUCCAAUUUCCUUUACUAAGGCUCUAUUGAUUGUCACUUAUUUUACAAUUAAACCUUUUCCUCCUCUUUUUCUGACUAAGUUCAUUCAAAUAAUUUUUUAAAUUUCUGGUUGUUUGAUUGAUUUACUUUCCUUAUUUCGCAAAACUGUGUACCAUGGGAUUCUUGCCUUAAAUAGACUCUAUGCACUUACCCGUUGUUCUGUUACUCAAAAAGGUUUUGAGUAUUUUUUCUUUCCUUAAAUACUCAUGCCAAUUUGAAAUCAAAUCCCUUAAACUAAGGGAGAUCCUUAUGUGAUUGACUGAAAUGUAAUUUCCUUGCCUUUUAUUACUCGUUUUUGCACUAUAAAAAGAGACAACCUUUUCAACAGUCAACACAGUUCUUUUCUGCACUUUUGCAACACACAGACUUUUGAAUUUCAAUACUUCGAAUACUAUUUUCACUACACAAUUUCAAAUACUCUCUCUACUACUACCUUCUCUAUUUCUGAUACUAAGUGCUCUGCUCCUCUCUCUUCUACUGUCUGAAAUACUCCUGAGUUCCUCUUGAACUCUCAAAUACUUGCUGAAGGUCCUGAGUUUG
rnacentral:lncRNA from 1 species